rnacentral:misc_RNA from 1 species
CCUCCCCGGCCCCVCCGGCCUCUUCCCCCUCGCCCUGCGGGCGCGUCGGUCGCUGGCCGGAAUACGGCGCGGGUUGACGCCAAGGAACACGAGAAAGCCGACGCACCGGCGAGCCGCUCAGCGGCCGUGCCGGGUGCCGAGGCCAACGGAAAAAAAAAUAU